rnacentral:rRNA from 1 species
UGGUAUGCUGAAUAUACCGGUUCUCGUUAGAUCACCGAAGUCAAGCAUCAUUGGGCGCGCUCAGUGCUUGGGUGGGUGACCACCUGGGAACACCGCGUGCCGUU